AGCAAAUGAGCUGAAUGCUCAUGCUUCCCUUCAAUUCUAGAGACAUCUGUGAGAAUAUUCAAAUACUUAUUGGAGGAUUUGAGAUGAAGACAGGAGAGCAGUGGCUUGCUUUUAGGAAGUAUGGGAAAUAUACUGC